UGGGGAAUCUUCCGCAAUGGACGAAAGUCUGACGGAGCAACGCCGCGUGAGUGAUGACGGCCUUCGGGUUGUAAAGCUCUGUUAAUCGGGACGAAAGGCCUUCUUGCGAAUAGUUAGAAGGAUUGACGGUACCGGAAUAGAAAGCCACGGCUAACUACGUGCCAGCAGCCGCGGUAAUACGUAGGUGGCAAGCGUUGUCCGGAAUUAUUGGGCGUAAAGCGCGCGCAGGCGGAUUGGUCAGUCUGUCUUAAAAGUUCGGGGCUUAACCCCGUGAUGGGAUGGAAACUGCCAAUCUAGAGUAUCGGAGAGGAAAGUGGAAUUCCUAGUGUAGCGGUGAAAUGCGUAGAUAUUAGGAAGAACACCAGUGGCGAAGGCGACUUUCUGGACGAAAACUGACGCUGAGGCGCGAAAGCCAGGGGAGCGAACGGGAUUAGAUACCCCGGUAGUCCUGGCCGUAAACGACGGGUACUAGGUGUAGGAGGUAUCGACCCCUUCUGUGCCGGAGUUAACGCAAUAAGUACCCCGCCUGGGGAGUACGACCGCAAGGUUG
rnacentral:rRNA from 1 species